rnacentral:lncRNA from 1 species
GUGCACUCAGUCUUCAGGAGGAGGCAUCCCCUGUGGUUGCAGAACUUCCGCUAUCCUUGGUUGCCCAGGAUAAACUGGUGGAAUCAUGACUCAUUUUUGUCAUUGGGACCACAGGAGGAGGGGUCAGAAGAUAGUGAAAUGUUCAGUGAGCACUCACAUUUCGUUAGAUGCACUGUCUCUGAACCCGAGAACUUACUCAGAACUUCAGGAUGGGAGCGUGCAGUCACCAAGUGUUAAGUCGAAGAUUCCGGACUGUUUAGGCUGUGCCUUGGGAAAUCAUUGGCUCUGUGAAAUUGUCCAAGGCUAGCUUGAUAAACCUCUGGAAGCACAGAAGAACAGUUUGGAGAGGAGUCUAUGCAUCUCUAUCUACAGCUAAAGCACCAUAGGCUACCUCUCAGAAAUGUAAGUUUUAGUGAUUUCAUCCUGUCAAAAAUUGCGUAUUUCAAAACAUUAGAAAGUUGACUUGCACAAAUAUAAAAUAAGCAUGGAUCAGGAUGCUUCACCUUGUGCUCCAUAAGUUACUCAUCUGAUAUUACAUUGGAAGCAGAAGAAAUUCCCAGCAAAGUGACCUAUGUUGCAAGACUCAAAGGAGGGAUAGAGAGUGGGAGUUGGCUCAGCUGGUGAAGAGCUUGCUGAACAUAAAGACCUGAGCUUGGAUCUCCCAACAUCCUUGUGAAGGGAUAGGCAUAGCCCCUGAAUCUUCAGAGCUGUGAUGAUGGAAGCAAUGGAUCCUCAGAGCUUGCUGGUCAGUCAACCUGCUUGAGUUCAGCUCUAGAUUCUGUGUGACCCUGACUCAAAAACUAAGGUGUGGAGUGACUGAGGAAGGGAUCUGAUGUCAACCACUUGUUCCCAUUUACACACACACACACACACACACACACACACACACACACACACACUCACUUAAAUACAAAUUAAAUUAUUUGUUGAAAAUGAUAAAAAGAUGAACGUCAUGCAGUUAGAAGUGGCAGUUAGCAAGGGACUUGCCUUGUGCUGCUGUUUUAUCAACGUUUCUGAUUCCUUUAACAUAGCAAGUGGCAGUCUGAUGUUCCUGGGAGCUGGUCUCCAGUCACAAAUCCAAGUUCCUUUUCUCCCUAUUUUGUUCAGGUUCUGCCAUUGUCUUGAGCAUGCUCCUUUGUGCUUACUAAAGCUGUGCUAUGUUGAGGAGUCACCUGCUUGUUCCUUGUUCUUCAGUGGACUGAGUGAUGGACCCCUCCCUCUUGACAGUAGAUCUGUGAGAAAUCUUACACCACUGGGACCUUAUUUGGGCUUAGAGAUUUGCUGACGUAGUUGAGUCUUGGGAGCAUAAUACAAUGGUUAAUUUGGUUGUUGACUUAUUAGGAUCUGAAAUCACUUAGGAGAUAAACUUCUGGGUCUAUCUGUGAGGAAGUUUCUAGAUAGAGUUAAUUAGGAUUAGAAGACUCAGUCUGACUGUGGAUUGUGGAGAAUUUUAGGACACAUUGCUAAAAAUGUCUCCUGAGAACCCGGUCUUCCUCUUAAAACAUGAAUGAAGAUCUCUUUCUUAGGGUUGUCUGGCCAACUCUUCACACAUUUCCUUGUACAUCAUUCUGCCAUUUGUGAGCAUGGGAGCUUGCACUCACUGUCCUCCAGUGCCUGGGCCACCUUCCUGCUUCAGUUGCUCAUCUUCUUGAGCAGUCUAGAGUUGUGCAAUCCCGAGAAUCUUAAGGACACAGCCUUUAGAUUAGUGCAUCAUCUGGUAGAGAAGAGGCCACCAAGGGGCAGGAGACACAGGGAACCAUCCUUGUGGCAGGUGGUGAUCAGAGAGAGAAAGCAGAGCUAACGGUGGAAGAUUUGAGAUACGUAAUUAGUAAUGAUAGGUUUUUUUUGCACAAAUUAUGAGACUCUGCUUCUUUUCUAUUUUUGAAAGAGAUUAUCAUUACGUAGCUCGACUAGCCUGGACCUUCCCAUGCAGACCAAGCUGGUCUUGGACGCAGAGAUUGGCCUGAUUCUGCUGGGACAAAGGCCACUAAACCUGGCGACAGUGAAAACUUUAUGCAUAAAAUCUAAGGUUGCUCCCUUGGGCAUCCUUAAUUUUUUCCUUCUACACAGGAACAAUAUUUAGCAAGCACACAACACUCACAAUAUACUUAAUACAGUUCUAUGUGUUCUGUAAAUAACUUGCUUAGUUUCCAGGCAAGGGGUAUUGUCACUGUCCACAUCGUACU